rfam:Oceanibulbus sp. HI0023 HI0023_c189, whole genome shotgun sequence.
GGGGACCUUCGGGGCCCUUCAUACCAUAGGCGGGGGCGUGCCCUCGUCGUCAGCUAAACGGAAGACAGACA